CGUUAGAUUUAGUGAUUGCAAUACCUUGUAUGUUGGUCAGGCGCCACUGCACAAUAAACGUAAUGAUAAAACGCUAAUUUUCAUGAGAUUUAGAACUUCGGUAUAAAUUUUAAAAUUUUAAAAUAAUACGGUUCAUGGGCGGGGGAUCGUAUGGCCGAUGACUACUUUGAAUUCCUCUGUUUCUUUGCCAGUGGCCGUAAAAUAUGUAUUACACGCUUGACUGGUAAGACAUUUCGGAACAAAUUUACCUCUAUCGAUUUUUCGUCAUAUUUUUGUAGGAAUAGCCUAAGACCUAUUUCCCCACCGUAACGUUUAAAAUUGGUUUCCACACAUAUAUAGUUUAUUAAUCGGAUAAAAUUGUUCACUUGGCGAUGUUAACAAAUACGUUCGAAAAAUCAAUCGAGACGAAAACCGCCGUACCUACAAUACGGCAAAUAAACCGCCGGAACAAAACUCAAGUCACU